UNAGUAAUNCCUAGUAAUCUNCCUGGUAGUNUNNNACAACGUUUCUAAAGUAACGCUAAUACCGCAUACGUCCUACGUNAUUAAGCAGGGGACCUUCGGGCUUGCGCUAUCAGAUNAGCCUAGGUCNNAUUAGCUAGUUGGUNGGUAAUGGCUCACCAAGGCGACGAUCCGUAACUGGUCUGANGANGGAUGAUCAGUCACACUGGAACUGAGACACGGUCCAGACUCUACGGGAGGCAGCAGUGGGGAAUAUUGGACAAUGGCGAAAGCCUGAUCCAGCCAUGCCGCGUGUGUGAAGAAGGUCUUNNGAUUGUAAAGCACUUUAAGUUGGGAGGAAGGGCAGUAAGUUAAUACCUUGCUGUUUNAACGUUACCGAGCAGAAUAAGCACCGGCUA
rnacentral:rRNA from 1 species